GGGGAAUAUUGCACAAUGGGCGAAAGCCUGAUGCAGCAACGCCGCGUGAGUGAUGAAGGCCUUCGGGUUGUAAAGCUCUGUCUUCUGGGACGAUAAUGACGGUACCAGAGGAGGAAGCCACGGCUAACUACGUGCCAGCAGCCGCGGUAAUACGUAGGUGGCAAGCGUUGUCCGGAAUUACUGGGCGUAAAGAAUGCGUAGGCGGAUAUUUAAGUCAGAUGUGAAAAUCCCGGGCUUAACUUGGGAACUGCAUUUGAAACUGGGUGUCUAGAGUGCGGGAGAGGAAAGUGGAAUUCCUAGUGUAGCGGUGAAAUGCGUAGAGAUUAGGAAGAACACCAGUGGCGAAGGCGACUUUCUGGACCGUAACUGACGCUGAGGCAUGAAAGCGUGGGGAGCAAAC
rnacentral:rRNA from 1 species